UUUCAAUUAUAUUUUAUUUUUUUGGUAAAAUGUUAGAUAUUAUUACCAGAUUUUUAAUUUUGACAAAAGUUAUAGAGAUUUAAAAUGCAGAAAUUUAAAAUAAACAGAAGAACCCAACCAGCAAAUAAUGAUCAACAGGAAAGAGGCAGAGACUGAGAUUAAGCACGAGACAGCACCGGAGUAAUGACGGACCAGAGAAACAGGCGUGAGCGGAGCUGGAACCGGUUGCCGCGAGCUGCCGGAGAGAAAGGCGACCUAAACCUUGAAACACACGGCUCUUACAGCUUCCGGAAUCCAAUAAGCUACGACCUGCACAAAGAAUCACAAUCUCGAACCCACCUGCUCACCCAAGAAGUAUUGCCCCGGCAGCACGAGGAAGGUCCUAAACCGGCGAUGACGUCGUUCGGAAAGGACAAUUGAAGAUUGCUACCUCCAACCAACCAACCCGGGACGUGUACACCCAUUUAACCGGAGACUCGAGAAGAGCCGCUAGACUGAUUGAGAACACAACCUCCGGAGAAACCACCAAGCAAACAAGAAAGAUGAAGACCCUAGAGAAGCGCAUACGUCAUCCACAGUCUCGAGUGCUCUUGCCAAGAACAAACUACUGACGGAUUCAAAGGCUAAACUACCAACCAAGUCGAUAGCUCGACACAUUUAUUAUGGAAAAGAAUGAUAAGCGAUCCGCCACCGCUCCGAGCCUGACCUAAGAAGAAUGAGCCCAACAAGACGCGGAUGCAGUCAAGAGCUCGAUACAAGCUGCCACAAAAGGUCACCUAACUCGGUUGACAACUCCAAGCGAGCAAUGCUUCCCGACUCGUGCCCAUCACUUAGAACACGCAGCAGGAUCUCCGAAAUCCAGAGCCAACUUGGCCCACCACACCACCACACAACGAGGGAACCAAGAACCGAGACUAGAACUCCAAACCCAGAAGGCACAGACCUAUAGAGCAGCCUCUAAGCCACACCAUCACCACAGAUCCGCAGAGAAGAAGCCUCACCGGAGCUCCACUCGCCGUCACCCUCAGGCCAAACCCUAGAUCCGGAAAAACUGAAGCCACCUCCAGAGAUCGAAGCAAGCGAGAGAAAGAGUCGACGCCAACCAACAAUGAUUCCCUCCCCACCGCUCCGGUGCCGCUCAAAUAACCGGAGAGAGCCAUAGCACGAACCAGAGAAUCCGACCUCCACAAAACCGACUCUACCAACAGACCCAAGCCCCAAUCAUCGCCAUUGAACUAGAUCUGGCUACAGCUGAGCUAGAAUCUCCACAAGAGAUGAGGAAGCUUCAACGCACCAGCCGAGGACCAAUAGCAAGCCCGAGAGAGACAAGGAGAGAGCAGUGGAGCUGAGAACAAGGACGAAGGGAGAGGAGCCCUCAGACGCCGGCUAAGAGGACCACCAGCGUCGGAGAAGAGAUCUGGUUUCAAAGAUGGAGACUUUUGGUUUUGUGAGAAGACAGAGAGAUAGGAGAGCCUACGUCUAUUGGUUUAUUGGUACUUGUUCUUUGUCUUCUUUAAUUUAAGAAUUGAGUUCGAAUCUGGAUAUAAUUUUCUUCCCAAUAUUUGUUCUAUAAAUCUAUGUAAUUGCUUACCGAUGUAUAUUUCAGCUGGAUUUCCUAUUUCUAUUAUGCUUUUACUCAUAUUUCUAUUAAUUUGGUCUGAUAUAGUGAUAUGUAUUGUAUUACACCCAUUACUCAAUCACAAAUAAAGGCUGUGUCGAUGGACCAUAAAGUAGUCUAUAAAGAUUACGAGCGUAUACACCAUAGGCUAAUUGUUUUAGUGAAAUAAUGAUCAAUUUUUUUUAAUGAAAUAAUGAUGUUGAUCAGCUUAUAUACUGCUAAUCAUAUGACAAUAAAAUGCAGCCCCAGAAAAUGGAAUUAUAUAUAGGGGAUGUUCCUUGUCUUGAUUCCCUAUACAUGGAUAGCAAUGCCCAAGCAACCGACGUAAUGGUAACGUUGAUUGAUUUAAUGUUCCACUUUCUCAAGUUCAAAGAAGUCAAAUCUUAUAGGGAAGAAGUCAAGACUUGGUAGAUCUAGUAUACGGAAACUUGGUGUAACUCUCAUUGAUCAGUAAGCUAAGAUCUGCCACACCAAAAAUAGAAAAUAAUUUAAUGUUUGAAGUUUAUAUAUGUAUACAUUCAUGCUCGAAUAUGUCCUGAUAGCAUGUUCAAGUAGUCUAUUGUUAUCACAUUUAUGAAAAGUGUAAGGAAAAACACAAGCAUAGAACGAGAACCUGAUUUUCUCUCUCCUCAUUUUUCUCUGAAAAACAUCUAAAUCGACGUUCCGCAUCUCCUCCCUCUCAAAUCCUACGUUUUUUUCCUUUGUUGUCUGUCUCUCCCUCUCCCACCGGCCGAUAUGCUAAGUGAUCUCGCUCCUCGUGGCCUCUUCAUCUCCGACAAAACUUGCUCAUGAGAGUUCGCUGCUUCAAGAGAUCGACGGGUUGGAGUUCCGCGAGGUUCGCAGGGAUGGAACUGUUAAGGCAGUCGGCUUUCUGGGAAGAGGUUGCGUCCGCACAACAUUUUCCCGGUUUUAUAUCUACGGCGCCUCUCUGCGUUACGGUGGCGCGUGCUUUCGUCAGGAGGGUCCUCAGCGCGGGAUAUGUUCUUUCAUCUGCUCAAACCUUUCGUUUAUCCCGGCGGAAUGGAGCGGCGGCGCGUGAGUUUCCUCCUCCGCUUGGCGUCUCGUCGGAGAAGCCUCCUGUCGUCUCUCUUAGGUGGCACUCGGCGUGUCACUCACCUCGUCGGCGCGCUUCAAGGUUGCAGAGCCCUCGUGUGUCGGUUCUUUAGUCUUGGUCGCUGCACCGACCAACUGCUCUUUGGUGCUGGCGUAGAGUCGUCUAGGGCUCCGGCUGAAUCCGAGUUGCAUUACCUUCCACCUUCCCUUCUCCGGUCACAGCAUCUCCCCUCUUGCGCUCAUGGUUGAUUGUUUCGCGAAGGUUCAUUGUCGGUGUCUUAGUAUUUCGAUGGGUUCGUGUCUUCGUUGGGUUCGUGCUAAGGAUUAGUGCCACCAGCCUCUGCUGAGUUCGUGCCAAGAGUAAAUUGUGGUGUGCUCGGAACAUUGUCGGGAGACCAGAGUUCGUACUUUGAAGCGUCGUCGGGAGAGUAGGUUUCGUACGAGUUGGCGUCGUCGGAUUUCCUAACUGCUUUUGCGGUUGUAGAUCAUUUUUGGGAUUAUGUUUGUUUCACACAUCUAAAUCCUUAUGUAUUGUUACGUAAGUCUUUUUUCCACCUUUUUGUACUUAAACAACUUUUAUCACUUUCAUUUUCAUUAAUGAAUAUUUACCAUUUAGCCAAAAAAACACAAGUAUAGAAACGUAAGGAGUUUCCAAAUAGUGGUCGAUGACUCUCACAGCAAUGAUUACAGUAAAAAAACAUCGAAUAAUUGGGUUUGAGAUUUGAUAUUGGCAUGUUAGAGAUUCUAUCUGGCAUAGCUUUUAGUCUAGUAAAUUUUAGGUCUUGUAAUUUAACUUUUAUUUGGGCAUUUUGCUAAACUCUUGUAUAUGUGUGGUCAUUAUAAUUUAUUUAUAAUGUCAACUUAUGCGCCAUGGAAAAUCUUCUCUUUUGAAAGAUGCAAAAGAUUUUCCCAAAAAAAUUGUACAUGUUUAAAAAGAAAAUAAAGGCGUACAAGUUAAUCUAAGCCCAUAAACAAAAAAAAAAAGGUAUAAGUCCAUCAUUACAAUGAGGGAAAGUGAGCAGCUAAGCCAACAUAUAUUCGAUAAUUUUCAAACAUGAUGAACAUAUACAAUUUUGUUUCAAAAAAAAACAUAUACAAUUCAAAUGUAUUAUGUACAAUGUAUGUCUCCAUUCAAUAAUGCCAACUUUUUUUGUUUAAAUGUUAAAUUUAUUUAUCAAUAAAAAAAUAUUUGCAAUACGAAAAAAUUUGAAUUGUUUGCAAAAUCUAAUGGCAUAGAGUUAGAUACAAAAGAUGUUGCAACUAAGUUGUUCUUCCUAUCUACUUGAUCAUCAUGGUGCUAUAAAUGGCCAUGUUUUUGGAACGGCAUUGUUGGUGCUCACACCAAGCUUAUGUGUGAUCACCUAUAGAAAGACAGUUUCGAAUGCAAGCCACACGAUGAAUAAAAACGAAGUAUGGUUUGUGGGAACCAAAUCAACUCAUUCCUUAUCACUGUGGGGUUCCUCACUUGCACUUGAUUCCAUGUGCUAAAUGAAGAGAACCAUGUCUUUUAGCAUCUUCCCGUGUUGUCAUAGUAACUAAUCUACAUCUGUUAUCAAAGCCGAAACAUUGUGGAUACCAGUUAUCAUCACCCGUAGGUGAUAGCUUUGACAUCAUUGAAUGUUCCAUCGUCAUCAACAACAGUUGCACAGAAACAGUAUUGUCAAAUGCUUGAUUGCUUGUAUUGACAUUGCACGAAUGGUAGGUCCAUUUUUCUUUCUUUUGUAGUAGUUCACUUAAUCACUUAUAUCAAAAUAAGCUUAAAUUUGUUCUAGUAGUUUCCUUCGUUUCUUCUUCAAAACAAUAUUUCAAAAAUAUUUUAUUAUUAAUAAUUGUUAUUCAAUUAUACUAAUAAUUUUGUUUUAAAACAUACAAAAUUUACCAAAUUGUAAUUUUAUCACAUAUAUAAAUUUAGUUUUUCAUAAAAUAUAUGAUCAUUUAUAUGAAUUAUAAUUAUAUUAAUUAAAAUAUUAAUGAUUUAACUAACGUAAAAACACAAAUAUUUAAUCUUUUAAAUUUGAUAUAAAAUAUAAAUAUUACGUAAAUUAAAACUCAAAAUUAAAACGUGGUUAUGAAUAAUAUUAUCUCAAAUUAAUGUGUUAUUGUUUAUGUCUUCAUUUUUCUCUAAAAGAUACAAUUAGAAAGAAAUUUUUUUUAGUUUUUGAUGUUUUUCUUCAAAAGAAAUAUUAUUGGAGAUGGUCAAUCUCGAUUUAUUCCUAAGAAAUAUACACAUACCAACAACACAAAAAAGGAUAUCAGUUUUUAAUGUUAUAUAUAUAGGGGAAAUUAUUCAUUCGACAAAAAUCUUGCAUUUUAUUUUCAUUACUGUUUUUCCUGGUUUUUGUAGAUAUAAAAUCUCUAUAAUAUUAUUUGAAAAGUUAAUUUCCUGUGUGUCGCUCUCACGUUAACUCUCACGAUGGUUGAUUACACUAAUACCAUAAUGAAUUAAAAACCUUACAUUUAAAAUACUAUUAUUUAUUUUUUAUUUAGUUUCCUUUUUAAAAUUUUCCAAAAAACAAAUAUACAUAAAAGAAAAAAGGAAUUUUUUGAUAAAGUUAAAAAAAAAA